rnacentral:piRNA from 2 species
CGUGGAGAGGAACAAUUCUGAGUCUU